rnacentral:rRNA from 1 species
AUGAACGCUGGCGGCGUGCUUAAUACAUGCAAGUCGAACGAAGCGCUUACAGCCGAUCCCUUCGGGGUGAAGCAGUUUGUGACUUAGUGGCGGACGGGUGAGUAACGCGUGGGUAACCUGCCUUAUGCAGGGGGAUAACAGUUAGAAAUGACUGCUAAUACCGCAUAAGCGCACAGCACCGCAUGGUGGAGUGUGAAAAAGAUUUAUCGGCAUAAGAUGGACCCGCGUCUGAUUAGGUAGUUGGUGAGGUAACGGCCCACCAAGCCUACGAUCAGUAGCCGACUUGAGAGAGUGAUCGGCCACAUUGGGACUGAGACACGGCCCAGACUCCUACGGGAGGCAGCAGUAGGGAAUAUUGCACAAUGGGGGAAACCCUGAUGCAGCGACGCCGCCGUGAGUGAUUGAAGCAUUUCGGUGCGUAAAGCUCUAUCAGCAGGGAAGAUAAUGACGGUACCUGACUAAGAAGCCCCGGCUAACUACGUGCCAGCAGCUGC